rnacentral:rRNA from 1 species
GUCUACGGCCAUGCCACCCUGAAUGUGCCCGAUCCCGUCUGAUCUCGGAAGCUAAGCAGGGUCAGGCCUGGUUAGUACUUGGAUGGGCGACCGCCUAGGAAGACCAGGAGCUGUAGGUG